AUGAACGCUGGCGGCGUGCCUAAUACAUGCAAGUCGAGCGAACAGACGAGGAGCUUGCUCCUCUGACGUUAGCGGCGGACGGGUGAGUAACACGUGGAUAACCUACCUAUAAGACUGGGAUAACUUCGGGAAACCGGAGCUAAUACCGGAUAAUAUAUUGAACCGCAUGGUUCAAUAGUGAAAGACGGUUUUGCUGUCACUUAUAGAUGGAUCCGCGCCGCAUUAGCUAGUUGGUAAGGUAACGGCUUACCAAGGCAACGAUGCGUAGCCGACCUGAGAGGGUGAUCGGCCACACUGGAACUGAGACACGGUCCAGACUUCUACGGGAGGCAGCAGUAGGGAAUCUUCCGCAAUGGGCGAAAGCCUGACGGAGCAACGCCGCGUGAGUGAUGAAGGUCUUCGGAUCGUAAAACUCUGUUAUUAGGGAAGAACAAAUGUGUAAGUAACUAUGCACGUCUUGACGGUACCUAAUCAGAAAGCCACGGCUAACUACGUG
rnacentral:rRNA from 1 species